AACGAACGCUGGCGGCAGGCUUAACACAUGCAAGUCGAACGGGUGUAGCAAUACAUCAGUGGCAGACGGGUGAGUAACACGUGGGAACCUUCCUCGUUGUACGGAACAACUCAGGGAAACUUGAGCUAAUACCGUAUACGUCCGAGAGGAGAAAGAUUUAUCGCAAUGAGACGGGCCCGCGUCGGAUUAGGUAGUUGGUGGGGUAACGGCCUACCAAGCCUACGAUCCGUAGCUGAUCUGAGAGGAUGAUCAGCCACACUGGGACUGAGACACGGCCCAGACUCCUACGGGAGGCAGCAGUGGGGAAUCUUGGACAAUGGGCGCAAGCCUGAUCCAGCCAUGCCGCGUGAGUGAAGAAGGCCUUCGGGUUGUAAAGCUCUUUUGUCAGGGACGAUAAUGACGGUACCUGAAGAAUAAGCCCCGGCAAACUUCGUGCCAGCAGCCGCCGUAA
rnacentral:rRNA from 1 species